AGAGUUUGAUCAUGGCUCAGAAUCAACGCUGGCGGCGCGCCUAACACAUGCAAGUCGAACGAGAAAGCGGGGGCAACCUCGUGAGUAAAGUGGCGUACGGGUGAGUAACACGUGGAUCAUCUACCCUGGAGUGGGGAAUAACGCUGGGAAACCGGCGCUAAUACCGCAUAUUCCCGAGAGGGGAAAGCAGCAAUGCGCUCGAGGAGGAGUCCGCGGCCGAUUAGCUUGUUGGCAGGGUAAAAGCCUACCAAGGCUGUGAUCGGUAGCCGGCCUGAGAGGGCACACGGCCACACUGGCACUGAAACACGGGCCAGACUCCUACGGGAGGCAGCAGUGGGGAAUCUUGCACAAUGGGGGAAACCCUGAUGCAGCGACGCCGCGUGAGCGAUGAAGCCCUUCGGGGUGUAAAGCUCUUUCGGCAGGGAAGAUCAUGACGGUACCUGCAGAAGCAGCUGCGGCUAACUACGUGCCAGCAGCCGCGGUAAUACGUAGGCAGCAAGCGUUGUUCGGAGUUACUGGGCGUAAAGGGUGUGUAGGCGGCUCUCUAAGUUUGGUGUGAAAUCUCCCGGCUCAACCGGGAGGGUGCGCCGAAAACUGGAGGGCUAGAGUGCGGGAUGGGAGAGUAGAAUUCCUGGUGUAGCGGUGAAAUGCGUAGAUAUCAGGAGGAAUACCGGUGGUGUAGACGGCUCUCUGGACCGUAACUGACGCUGAAACACGAAAGCGUGGGUAGCAAACAGGAUUAGAUACCCUGGUAGUCCACGCCCUAAACGAUGCACAUUUGGUGUAGGUCAUUCAGUUGAUCUGUGCCGGAGCUAACGCGUUAAAUGUGCCGCCUGGGGAGUACAGUCGCAAGGCUGAAACUCAAAGGAAUUGACGGGGCCCGCACAAGCGGUGGAGCAUGUGGUUCAAUUCGACGCAACGCGAAGAACCUUACCUGGGCCUCGAACGGC
rnacentral:rRNA from 1 species